UGGGGAAUAUUGCGCAAUGGGCGAAAGCCUGACGCAGCAACGCCGCGUGAGUGAUGAAGGCCUGCGGGUUGUAAAGCACUUUCAGUAGAGAAGAAAAGCCUAAGGUUAAUAACCUUGAGUCUUGACGUAACCUACAGAAGAAGCACCGGCUAACUCCGUGCCAGCAGCCGCGGUAAUACGGAGGGUGCAAGCGUUAAUCGGAAUUACUGGGCGUAAAGCGCACGUAGGUGGUUUUGUAAGUCGGAUGUGAAAGCCCUGGGCUCAACCUGGGAAUUGCAUUCGAUACUGCUUAACUAGAGUAUGGUAGAGGGAAGUGGAAUUUCCGGUGUAGCGGUGAAAUGCGUAGAUAUCGGAAGGAACACCAGUGGCGAAGGCGACUUCCUGGGCCAAUACUGACACUGAGGUGCGAAAGCGUGGGUAGCAAACAGGAUUAGAUACCCACGUAGUCCCUGAGCGGGCUGGCAAGGCGCAU
rnacentral:rRNA from 1 species